rnacentral:rRNA from 1 species
GAUGAACGCUGGCGGCGUGCCUAAUACAUGCAAGUCGAGCGAACAGAUAAGGAGCUUGCUCCUCUUACGUUAGCGGCGGACGGGUGAGUCACACGUGGAUAACCUACCUAUAAGACUGGGAUAACUUCGGGAAACCGGAGCUAAUACCGGAUAAUAUAUUGAACCGCAUGGUUCAAUAGUGAAAGGCGGUUUUGCUGUCACUUAUAGAUGGAUCCGCGCCGUAUUAGCUAGUUGGUAAGGUAACGGCUUACCAAGGCAACGAUACGUAGCCGACCUGAGAGGGUGAUCGGCCACACUGGAACUGAGACACGGUCCAGACUCCUACGGGAGGCAGCAGUAGGGAAUCUUCCGCAAUGGGCGAAAGCCUGACGGAGCAACGCCGCGUGAGUGAUGAAGGUCUUCGGAUCGUAAAACUCUGUUAUCAGGGAAGAACAAAUGUGUAAGUAACUGUGCACAUCUUGACGGUACCUGAUCAGAAAGCCACGGCUAACUACGUG